ACGAACGCUGGCGGCGUGCUUAACACAUGCCAGUCGAACGAUGACGACCGAGCUUGCUCGGUCUGAUUAGUGGCGAACGGGUGAGUAACACGUGAGCAACCUGCCCUUCACUCUGGGAUAACCUCGGGAAAUCGGGGCUAAUACCGGAUAUGAGCUCCUGUCGCAUGGCGGGUGUUGGAAAGUUUUUCGGUGAAGGAUGGGCUCGCGGCCUAUCAGUUUGUUGGUGAGGUAGUGGCUCACCAAGGCGAUGACGGGUAGCCGGCCUGAGAGGGCGACCGGCCACACUGGGACUGAGACACGGCCCAGACUCCUACGGGAGGCAGCAGUGGGGAAUAUUGCACAAUGGGCGAAAGCCUGAUGCAGCGACGCCGCGUGAGGGAUGACGGCCUUCGGGUUGUAAACCUCUUUCAGCAGGGAAGAAGCGAAAGUGACGGUACCUGCAGAAGAAGCGCCGGCUAACUACGUG
rnacentral:rRNA from 1 species